UACGGAGGGUGCAAGCGUUAUCCGGAUUUACUGGGUUUAAAGGGUGUGUAGGCGGACUAUUAAGUCAGCGGUGAAAUCUCCGGGCUCAACCCGGAAACUGCCAUUGAUACUAUUAGUCUUGAAUGUUGUUGAGGUGGGCGGAACGGGUCAUGUAGCGGUGAAAUGCAUAGAUAUCAGGAGGAAUACCGAUGGCGAAGGCAGGUCUCUGGGCUGACACUGACGCUCAUGCACGAAAGCGUGGGGAGCAAACAGG
rnacentral:rRNA from 1 species